GCAUCCAAUAGACACUAUAGAGCAUUUGUUGGAAUGAAUAAAUGAAUGGAUAGUAUGCUUUAGUUUCCCAUCUCUAAAUUAACAUACUCCAUGAAACAGGCUUAUGGUUUGCCAAACUCUUAUAUGGCCACAACAAACCAUUAUUACCUUCUCAAUUUCUUCUGCUGGUACACCCCGAAGCCGGGCAUAAAGGUAGAGGUGUUCUCGGCCCGUGAGCAGGUCAUCGACUGCAUCAAACUGAGGACAGUAGCCCAUAUUUUGAUGGACUUCAGAAAUAUUGGUUAAAAUACUGCAAGAAGAAACAGCAAUUGGUGAGUUUCCUUCAUAGAGAGAAUGACUAGAGAUCUGGGCUGGAAAGCUUCUCCCAGGGGGAUAAGUAGGCUGACUCUUCUCCUUCCUGCUUUGCUUUAGCAAUGCACACCAAAUGCACACAUUUGGAAAUCAAAGCAGGGACCUAGCAAAGAGGCAAACAUGUGAGAGGUCAUCCGUUGUCCUGUCCCAUAGAGGCAGGAAGUCUGUUUAAAAUUGCAGAAGGCAGCAUUUACCCUCUGGAAGCUGAGGACACAGACCAGUUUUUCCUUUAUACUCUUUGGUGUGGCAAAGCCAAGCAUCAGCACACAGUCAUUGCAGACCUAGGGCUCCCAAGAGUCCUUUAACAAGUCCCUAUCUAGAAACAACCUAGAGAAAGGACACUUCAUCAUGGUAAUUCUGAACUUGGGAUCCAGGGGCUCCAGCAGGGUUAUGAACAUGCUUCAGGGUUCAGUAAAUUCCCUGAAACUUUUUGCAAAAAUGUGUGGAGAGAGGUCAUGGGAG
rnacentral:lncRNA from 1 species